UACAGGGGGGGCGAGCGUUGUUCGGAAUUACUGGGCGUAAAGGGCUCGUAGGUGGCCAACUAAGUCAGACGUGAAAUCCCUCGGCUUAACCGGGGAACUGCGUCUGAUACUGGAUGGCUUGAGUUCGGGAGAGGGAUGCGGAAUUCCAGGUGUAGCGGUGAAAUGCGUAGAUAUCUGGAGGAACACCGGUGGCGAAGGCGGCAUCCUGGACCGACACUGACACUGAGGAGCGAAAGCCAGGGGGGCAAACGGG
rnacentral:rRNA from 1 species